rnacentral:rRNA from 1 species
AACGAACGCUGGCGGCAUGCCUAACACAUGCAAGUCGAACGAGCACUUCGGGUCGAGUGGCGCACGGGUGCGUAACGCGUGGGAAUCUGCCCUUUGGUUCGGAAUACCAGUUGGAAACGACUGCUAAUACCGGCUGAUGACUACGGUCCAAUGAUUUAUCGCCCAGGGAUGAGCCCGCGUCGGAUUAGCUAGUUGGUGAGGUAAAAGCUCACCAAGGCGACGAUCCGUAGCUGGUCUGAGAGGAUGAUCAGCCACACUGGGACUGAGACACGGCCCAGACUCCUACGGGAGGCAGCAGUGGGGAAUAUUGGACAAUGGGCGAAAGCCUGAUCCAGCAAUGCCGCGUGAGUGAUGAAGGCCUUAGGGUUGUAAAGCUCUUUUACCCGGGAUGAUAAUGACAGUACCGGGCGAAUAAGCCCCGGCUAACUCCGUGCCAGCCGCCGCGGUAA